rnacentral:rRNA from 1 species
AUUGAACGCUGGCGGCAGGCCUAACACAUGCAAGUCGAGCGGUAGAGAGGUGCUUGCAUCUCUUGAGAGCGGCGGACGGGUGAGUAAUGCCUAGGAAUCUGCCUGGUAGUGGGGGAUAACGUUCGGAAACGGACGCUAAUACCGCAUACGUCCUACGGGAGAAAGCAGGGGACCUUCGGGCCUUGCGCUAUCAGAUGAGCCUAGGUCGGAUUAGCUAGUUGGUGAGGUAACGGCUCACCAAGGCGACGAUCCGUAACUGGUCUGAGAGGAUGAUCAGUAAAACUGGAACUGAGACACGGUCCAGACUCCUACGGGAGGCAGCAGUGGGGAAUAUUGGACAAUGGGCGACAGCCUGAUCCAGCCAUGCCGCGUGUGUGAAGAAGGUCUUCGGAUUGUAAAGCACUUUAAGUUGGGAGGAAGGGUACUUACCUAAUACGUGAGUAUUUUGACGUUACCGACAGAAUAAGCACCGGCUAACUCUGUGCCAGCCGCCGCGGUAACAC